UUUAAAGAGAGUUUGAUCCUGGCUCAGGACGAACGCUGGCGGCGUGCCUAAUACAUGCAAGUCGAACGAACGGAGGAAGAGCUUGCUCUUCCAAAGUUAGUGGCGGACGGGUGAGUAACACGUGGGCAACCUGCCUGUAAGUUGGGGAUAACUCCGGGAAAUCGGGGCUAAUACCGAAUGAUAAAGUUUGGCGCAUGCCACGCUUUUGAAAGAUGGUUUCGGCUAUCGCUUACAGAUGGGCCCGCGGUGCAUUAGCUAGUUGGUAGGGUAAUGGCCUACCAAGGCAACGAUGCAUAGCCGACCUGAGAGGGUGAU
rnacentral:rRNA from 1 species